AUACGUAGGGUGCAAGCGUUAAUCGGAAUUACUGGGCGUAAAGCGUGCGCAGGCGGUUUUGUAAGACAGAGGUGAAAUCCCCGGGCUCAACCUGGGAACUGCCUUUGUGACUGCAAGGCUAGAGUACGGCAGAGGGGGAUGGAAUUCCGCGUGUAGCAGUGAAAUGCGUAGAUAUGCGGAGGAACACCGAUGGCGAAGGCAAUCCCCUGGGCCUGUACUGACGCUCAUGCACGAAAGCGUGGGGAGCAAACAGGAUUAGAUACCCUGGUAGUCCACGCCCUAAACGAUGUCAACUGGUUGUUGGGUCUUCAUUGACUCAGUAACGAAGCUAACGCGUGAAGUUGACCGCCUGGGGAGGACGGCCGCAAGGUUAAAACUCAAAGG
rnacentral:rRNA from 1 species